rnacentral:lncRNA from 1 species
GCUUUGACUAGAUUGUGGAGGCACAGGGUAGGAAGGACAAGGGUCAAAAAUGGAGAGGGUGGGCAGGUAACAGAUCAUGAAGGAUCUUAUAUGGCAUGUGAAGACUUUUGGACUUUAUACAGAAGUGUCUAGAGUCAGUGAGGUGAAAGGACCAGAUUAGAGUGGAAAAUGGAUUAUGUUGGAACAAGACUAGAGAAAGAAUAACUGAGGGACUUGGUGUACUUGGUUUAAUUCAGAUGAGAAACAAUGAUGAACUAAAGGCACCACUGCUGGGUGGAGAGAGAGAGGGAGAGAGAAAGGGAGAAAUGGAGAAAGAUGAAAUCAGGAAAUAUGCAAGGCAAACCUGAGAGAACUCAGUUGUAGAGGGAAGAAGAUAGAGAGGAGUCCAAGUCCGAGGUGACCCUUGGGUCUCCAGCAUGAAUGGUUGUAAGAAUACCUGGGCUAUUCACUGGAAUAGUGGAUAUUAAAGAAAGAACGUAUUUGGACUACAAGAUUAUGAGCUAAAUUUUGGAUACUUUUGAUAUAUUGAAUUUGAACUGUUUGUGACAUGUAACUGGAGC